AAAUCAUUCCCGGAGAUACCUUGGCCUAGGCAUCUGACCGAGACCACCAAGGUUGUUAAAUGUCUUUACAUCCGAAAUUCUAGCCAUGCCUUGGCGUUGGCUGAGUCUCACUCUCACGCCGUGGUCUACGUGAAGUGCACUCAAAUCUUUACCUCUAAAAAAACCCUCCACACGGCUCUCCGAUCGAGGUAAGCUAUAUUUGAUUCUGUGCCCCCUCUCUUAGGUUGGUCCACAGAACCUCCACUGUAGGGAUUAUGGAUUAUUUUAUCUACCACCUGAUUUAUAAAAUCUUUAUCUGCAUGACAUGGUAAUUUAUCGCAAUCUAGCCUCUC
rnacentral:lncRNA from 1 species